AUGUGCUGCCAUAUCAAACUGCAACUCACAAGGACCAGCCCACUGAAGCUAAGCAGGUGUGAGCCUGGCCAGUACCUGGAUGGGAGACCUCUUUGGAAAAAAUCUAAGGUUGCUACAGGAA
rnacentral:rRNA from 1 species